CCUACGGGAGGCUGCAGUGGGGAAUAUUGGACAAUGGGGGGAACCCUGAUCCAGCCAUGCCGCGUGUGUGAAGAAGGCCCUCGGGUUGUAAAGCACUUUCAGUGAGGAAGAACGCCUGGUGGUUAAUACCCAUCAGGAAAGACAUCACUCACAGAAGAAGCACCGGCUAACUCCGUGCCAGCAGCCGCGGUAAUACGGAGGGUGCGAGCGUUAAUCGGAAUUACUGGGCGUAAAGCGCGCGUAGGUGGCUUGAUAAGCCGGUUGUGAAAGCCCCGGGCUCAACCUGGGAACGGCAUCCGGAACUGUCAAGCUAGAGUGCAGGAGAGGAAGGUAGAAUUCCCGGUGUAGCGGUGAAAUGCGUAGAGAUCGGGAGGAAUACCAGUGGCGAAGGCGGCCUUCUGGACUGACACUGACACUGAGGUGCGAAAGCGUGGGUAGCAAACAGGAUUAGAUACCCCGGUAGUC
rnacentral:rRNA from 1 species